AGGAGUACCUGAGAGCCUGAGAUGAUUGGAUUGGCCAUUCCAACACACCACCCAUCCCCUGGGGAAGAAGGGGUUAUUCAAAUGGAACCUGCUAGAGAACUGCCAGCCUCCAUUUACCCCCACAUACAUUCUAGGGUGCUGUGCAUGUGUGGCUGUUCAUGAGUAUGAGUGGCUCCAAGGCUGUGGCCUGUGCAGGAGAAUGACUAGGUAGAAUCUCAGAUAAACCUACCAUAAGCGAUUCAUAAUUGUUUA